rnacentral:tRNA from 1 species
GCGGAUAUGGCGGAAUUGGCAGACGCGCACGGUUCAGGUCCGUGUGAGAGCUUUCUCAUGGAGGUUCAAGUCCUCUUAUCCGCACCA